AGUGAACGCUGGCGGUAGGCCUAGCACAUGCAAGUCGAACGGCAGCACAGUAAGAGCUUGCUCUUACGGGUGGCGAGUGGCGGACGGGUGAGGAAUACAUCGGAAUCUACUUUUUCGUGGGGGAUAACGUAGGGAAACUUACGCUAAUACCGCAUACGACCUACGGGUGAAAGCAGGGGAUCUUCGGACCUUGCGCGAUUGAAUGAGCCGAUGUCGGAUUAGCUAGUUGGCGGGGUAAAGGCCCACCAAGGCGACGAUCCGUAGCUGGUCUGAGAGGAUGAUCAGCCACACUGGAACUGAGACACGGUCCAGACUCCUACGGGAGGCAGCAGUGGGGAAUAUUGGACAAUGGGCGCAAGCCUGAUCCAGCCAUACCGCGUGGGUGAAGAAGGCCUUCGGGUUGUAAAGCCCUUUUGUUGGGAAAGAAAAGCAGCAGGUUAAUACCCCGCUGUUCUGACGGUACCCAAAGAAUAAGUACCGGCUAACUUCGUG
rnacentral:rRNA from 1 species